rnacentral:tRNA from 1 species
GGAAUGUGGCUUAGUGGUAGAGUACUUGCCUAGCAAGCAUAGAGCUCUGGGUUUGAUUCCUAGUACCA